rnacentral:lncRNA from 1 species
AUGGGACUUGCAAGGACUGCCUGCUCGGUACUUUCUUUUGCAUAUGAUCAGAAAUUAAAAGUGUUAAAAUUAAGACAUAAGCAGAGAUUUUGUUGGGUAGACAUGAGCAAUCAGAAUCGAUAUAAUGUAUCCUUCAUUUCAGUACCUCCUAGGUCACCCAUCUCUGGCUUCAACAUACAAAACUUGUGUCAGAUACUCUUCAUGGUUAAGGUAUUCCCACAUGGUACAGAGAAGAACUUUCAAAAAGAUUAUGGAAUUUGGGCACCAACAUCAUUUCCAACCAUGAAGGUCUUGCACAGGACGUGGUGA